rnacentral:misc_RNA from 1 species
UGUCUCAGGUAAAAUUACUCGGUAAAGUAGCUUCUUGCGACUUGGAGCUCCACUUCCUCACCCUUCCACCGACGUCACUUCUCUAUACACACACACACACUCACAAAACCAGACAGCGAGCCGCUCUGAUUCUCCACGGCACCCAUCAACACCUCUUAGGUGGCUUUCACGGGGUACUUGCUCGCUGCUCUUCCCCUCCGCCCUAUCCUCUUCCUCCACGCACACCCGCCGUUUCGUGGGUCUCUGCUGUUUUUUCUGGGGCAAGUUGUUUGUGCUGUGCGCUUCCGUGUUUUCUUUUUUGAUUCCAUAGACUACGUUGUGUGAAACCCCGGCUUUCGCUCUCUCGCUUGCCAUCGCCGCCCGCUGUCGACAUUUCUUGCCCUCCCCUCUCGCCCACUCUCUCAGUUUGAUCACGCCCCGCUCCCCUGGUUGAGCACCAACACGCACACGGCUGCGCCACCUGGUGUACUCAUGGCGGACCUCCUAUCGCAGCUGGAGCAAGACUUCAUAGCGAUACAGCAGGCAGACCCAUCACUAGCCGAUGGCUCGCGACUUGUGUAUGAUCGCGAGGUACCAUGCGAACUACGCGCCAUGCGAGGCGGGCAGUCUUCUGCCGGUUCUCUGGAGCCAAUGAAGGUCAAGGUCCUCACCACUGGCGAGGAGCGCAACCUGGCUAGUCUUCGUGUAGAGGUGACCACCGAGUCGGACAUCUUCUUCCACUACACCUGCAUCAUCAACGACCAGGGAUUUCUACGACUGCGCGAGGAUCAGAAUCUGGUGUGCGAAUUCUCGGAGUUCCUGAUGACACUGCUGAAGAUGUUCAACCGGUGCAUCCGCGAGCCCGGUCGCUUCAUCGCGGCGCUCCUCCUCGGCGACGAUGGCACCGCCAACUUGGAGUUUGUGGAGAACUUAGAGUACAAGCUAGUCAGCGUACUGGUGCUGCCGUUUCGCGCUUCCCCGCCUGAGGUGGUCCGCGAGCAGGCGCAGUACCGCUACAGCGCCAUCCGCGCACGACUCGAUUUGGUCACGGAGCAGAUCAAGCGUGCGAGCCCUGCUCGCCGCUGAAGAACAGCUGCAAAAGUUUAAAGCGAGGUACUCCGGGCAGGGACGUCUACCUGAGCCUCCUCCUUUAUCAGCUAAUUUCUUUUCUUGUCGCUUCCUUGUCUGUACCAAGUAGUCUCCUUCCUAGCGCGUUGAUGCCAGCCAUCACCGUGUCUUCCCCCCCCCCACACACACACAUAGAUCACUCUGGAUAUUUGAGUUUUGUUGUUGUUACCCUUGUCGCUGCGUGUCUUCGGAUGUGGCUCGCCUUCAUGUACCUCUAGAUGGGCAACUCUAUGUUUCGGGUCAUGUGUCUAUGUCUGCAGGUGUCUUGUGCUGCGCUUUCGAGCUUUAGAGGAACGACGGCUAAUCUCCUCGCAUACUCGCCUGCCAUCUUGGGGCGUCUAUGAUGUAGUAUGUGCAUGUGUGUACGUUUGUGUGUGUGUGUGUGGUGGGGAGGUGUCAAUCAUUUUGCCGUGGCGUUUGAAGGCGCGCUCGUACGGGUUUGCCUGAUUGGGUAUAGGGUGAACGUGUGCCGUUGAUGGAUUGCGCAUUUGCUGUGAAUGUUCUGUACUUGGAGCUGUCUUGCCCCUCUCCCUCCCUCUUUCCCUUUCACUCUCUCGACUUGUUCCAUUUUGUUUUUUUCUUUCGUGUCUGUUCCCUCGGCGCAUCGCUUCCUCUCCGCCCCACUGGUACUCUCUCACUUUCCCCACAUACACACACACACACACACACUCACCAG